ACAUACAUAAGGUUUCACGCCACUGUGAACUCUUUCAUGUAUUUGGGAAUAUAUGUGUGUGGUGAAAGCUUUUCCACAUUGCUUACAUACAUAGGGUUUCUCCCCAGUAUGAAUUCUUUCAUGUCUUUGACAACAUCUACGUGUGCUGAAAGCUUUCCCACACUGCUUACAUUCAUAGGGUUUCUCCCCAGUGUGAACUCUUUCAUGUGUUCGACAAUGACUGCUUGUGCUGAAAGCUUUCCCACACUGCUUACAUACAUAAGGUUUCUCCCCAGUGUGAAAUCUUUCAUGUGUUUUGCAAGUACCAUAUGAGCUGAAUGCUUUCCCACAUUGCUUACAUACAUAGGGUUUUUCUCCAGUGUGAACUCUUUCGUGAGUUUGACAAGCACUUUUUGUGGUAAAACCAUUCCCACAUUGGUUACAUAUGUAAGGUUUCUCCCCAUUGUGAACUCUUUCAUGUCUUUGACAACAUCUAUAGGUGCUGAAAGCUUUCCCACAUUGCUUACAUACAUAGGGUUUUUCCCCACUGUGAAAUCUUUCAUGUGUUCUACAAGCACUCUUUGUGCUGAAAGCUUUCCCACAUUGCUUACAUGCAUAGGGUUUGUCUCCAGUGUGAACUCUUUCAUGUCUUUGACAACAUCUACGUGUGGUAAAAGCUUUCCCACAUUGCUUACAUGGAUAUGGUUUCUCCCCACUGUGAGCUUUUUCAUGUCUUUGACAAGCACUUUUUGUGCUGAAAGCUUUGCCACAUUGCUUACAUUCAUAGGGUUUGUAUCCAGUGUGAGCUCUUUCAUGUAUUUGAACAUAUCCAUAUGUGCUGAAAGCUUUCCCACACUGCUUACAUACAUAUGGUUUCUCUCCACUGUGAUUUCUUUCAUGGAUCUGAACAUAUUUAUAUGUUCUGAAAGCUUUGCCACAUUGUUUACAGACAUAGGGUUUCCCCUCA
rnacentral:lncRNA from 1 species